AUGACGGUACCUGAAAGAAAUAAGCACCCGGCUAAACUAACGUGCCAGCAAGCCGCGGUAAUACGUAGGGUGCAAGCGUUAAUCGGAAAUUACUGGGCGUAAAGCGUGCGCAGGCGGUUGUGUAAGACAGGUGUGAAAUCCCCGGGCUUUAACCUGGGAAUGGCAUUUGUGACUGCACGGCUAGAGUGUGUCAGAGGGGGGUAGAAUUCCACGUGUAGCAGUGAAAUGCGUAGAGAUGUGGAGGAAUACCGAUGGCGAAGGCAGCCCCCUGGGAUAACACUGACGCUCAUGCACGAAAGCGUGGGGAGCAAACAGGAUUAGAUACCCUGGUAGUCCACGCCCUAAACGAUGUCUACUAGUUGUCGGGUCUUAAUUGACUUGGUAACGCAGCUAACGCGUGAAGUAGACCGCCUGGGGAGUACGGUCGCAAGAUUAAAACUCAAAGGAAUUGACGGGGACCCGCACAAGCGGUGGAUGAUGUGGAUUAAUUCGAUGCAACGCGAAAAACCUUACCUACCCUUGACAUGUACGGAAUCCUUCAGAGAUGAGGGAGUGCUCGAAAGAGAACCGUAACACAGGUGCUGCAUGGCUGUCGUCAGCUCGUG
rnacentral:rRNA from 1 species